ACGCAGGCAGUGAGAUUCCUUUGCAAUGUAAGGAGAAGGUUUCUAACUGUAAGGCGAGCUAAGCACUGCCACAGGUUACUGUCUUGGAGAUUUUAAAGUUCGGGUUACACAAGCAUUUGUUAGAAAUGGUCUGCGUACACUUAAUCUUGCCUCAGCAAAAGGGGACAUGCUACAUGACAGCGUGAGGGCCUUUCCUGCCCUAUGAUUUUAUCUUCUCAGUGUAACAAACUACGUGUGACACAACAUCCUAGACAGGGUUUGGGUAGAACUCUGUCAAUUUUCAAUGUUAGAAGAGCAGGAAGGAGCUUGGGAUUGCUUCCAUCAGCCAUGUUUUGGCCUCUGUGUUCCGGGCUCAGUCUAUGACAUCUAUGCAGGAUCAGUUAUCUUGGGUUGUUUGGAGAAGACAACACCACCUCUGAUCUGGACAAUCGUUACUACAAAAUAUAAAGAGAGCUCUUUGCCACAAGUUGUGCUGGGAUCUGGAUUUGGUAGAAAGCAUUUUGGUUUGAAAAACCAUUUGUCACUCAGAAUAGGUUAAUAGGCUACGGCCAUGAUUUUGCUUAUGAUGUGGCCAUGAAGAAAGUAGUAGGUUCCUUUGUCUGCCUGUAUUGUAUUUGCAGCUCUCCCAAUAUGUCUGUGACUUUUAGUAACAUGCUGAUUUCUCCGUCUUCCAGAUCAUCAGUGAAAAUGUUAAACAAAAUGAGACCUGGCACUCGUCCUGGUAGAAUCACUUCAUACAUGACCAUUUAUUAUUUUCCUGUGUUUAUAGUUCUGUCAGUUUUCAAUCUUCAUGAUUGAAAUAUCCAAACUGAUUCCAAUUAUUUUUCUAUUAAGAUUUCAUGAGGCACAGUCUCAAAUUCUUUACUAAAAUCCAAAUAUAUUACAUCAUAUCUGAUCCCUUCAACCAUUAAUUUUUGCAAUUCUGUCAGAAAAGAGCAAUCACAUUUGUCUGGCAAGAUUUAUAUUUUAUAAUCUCCCAGUGCUGUUUAUGAUUCAUGACUGUUACAUUUCAGAUGUUUAGUGAUUUUUUUUUUUAAUGAAAAUAUCUUUUAUUAUUUCACUAAGGACUUACAGGAGGUUAAUUGGGGGGAUCUCUUUUUUCCUUCUUGUUUUGAAAACUGGUACUGAGUUCGUUGUAUUCCAGUCUUCCGGUACCUCUCCACUUCAUGAUCUAUUAAAAAAAUAUUGACAAAAUAAUGUUUAUGUUCAUCCUUUAACAGUUUAUAAAACAUGUAAUUUGAAUUUGCUAACUUCACAUUGUAAAUUUACAAGUAUCCCCCCAUACCUGCUCUUUAUCAAUAAGUGUUUUUACAAAGACUUCCUAAUUUUCAAAACUCAUUUUCUCAUUCUAGGUUUUAAAAUAUUCUGCAUAUCACUGUCAUUUUCAAGAGUUUAUUAAACUGUUUUUAUCAAGGA